UGGGAGGUAACAGGAUUUCAACAUGGAGAUUUAAAUUGAUACAUGCACCAUUCAGUUGGGAAUCCACGACUGCGGAGUAAAGCCAUUCGUGUAUUGGUUCCAAGUCAUAUUCUGUCAGUUAGAAUACCAUAACUGCCUCAGCAGGUCGCACAGCAACUUUUUUCCGUUACUGAACCUGUUCUGCCGCUUCCCGCACUGUAAAAUUGUCUCUGUUUGGUUUUGAUUGGAACUACGAACAUUAAUUCAGUAUCUUGUAAAGAAGCUAUCAGUAAUUCAGUAUCUUGUGCCAUCGGCAAACGUUAGGUGUUCAGAUACUCUCAGUACGUGAUCAAAUGGAAGGGUGGUAUAGAUUGUUCACUGAACUUUAUUUGUUAGUUCUACUCUACAUUUAAAGAUGGUUCAAUAUGCUUACAGGUUCUCGUGGAAAACUUGAUCGAGGGUAACAUAUAUUGGGUAUUUCUGGACGGAAUAACAACAGUUCAUCACAAUACACACUUGAAUGAGAUAGUGCAUUCUGCAACUACUCCUGUAUUAUACAACAGAUGUUUGGUGCGAGCCAUCACUCAUCUUGACUCUGUUUAACAUUCCC
rnacentral:lncRNA from 1 species